rnacentral:rRNA from 1 species
AUUGAACGCUGGCGGCAUGCCUUACACAUGCAAGUCGAACGGCAGCACGGGGGCAACCCUGGCGGCGAGUGGCGAACGGGUGAGUAAUGCAUCGGUACGUGCCCAGUAGUGGGGGAUAACCAGUCGAAAGACUGGCUAAUACCGCAUACGACCCAAGGGUGAAAGCGGGGGACCGUAAGGCCUCGCGCUAUUGGAGCGGCCGAUGUCUGAUUAGCCAGUUGGCGGGGUAAGAGCCCACCAAGGCGACGAUCAGUAGCUGGUCUGAGAGGACGACCAGCCACACUGGGACUGAGACACGGCCCAGACUCCGACGGGAGGCAGCAGUGGGGAAUUUUGGACAAUGGGCGCAAGCCUGAUCCAGCCAUGCCGCGUGCGGGAAGAAGGCCUUCGGGUUGUAAACCGCUUUUGGCAGGAACGAAACGGCGCAGGCCAAUACCUUGCGCUAAUGACGGUACCUGCAGAAUAAGCACCGGCUAACUACGUGCCAGCCGCCGCCGUAAAAC